rnacentral:rRNA from 1 species
UACGUAGGGCGCAAGCGUUGUCCGGAAUUAUUGGGCGUAAAGAGCUCGUAGGCGGCUUGUCACGUCGGGUGUGAAAGCCCGGGGCUUAACCCCGGGUCUGCAUUCGAUACGGGCAGGCUAGAGUGUGGUAGGGGAGAUCGGAAUUCCUGGUGUAGCGGUGAAAUGCGCAGAUAUCAGGAGGAACACCGGUGGCGAAGGCAGCUCGCUGGGACGGUACUGACGCUGAGGCGCGAAAGCGUGGGGAGCAAACAGG